rnacentral:lncRNA from 10 species
ACUCAGGAGAUAGAUUCUUGUCUUAUUUCCUGAGUCAAAUUAACAUCUCUGCUACCUGCCUGGUAUCUUGGUCCCUUUAGAGUCAGGGACCUGUGCUAGUCUGGCCCUCGGCAUGCCAGAGAUUCACGCAGUGCUCCUUCCCCCCAGCCUGGCUGCUGAGCCCUGUCUCCCCAGUGGUUCUUUUCUCUACGCAUCUCUGAAUGUGACUGCUUUAGGGUGAAUCUCCUCCUUCUUGUUCCACCCACCUGCCAAUUUGUGUUAUGCUCCUGAUGUUGACAGCUUGCCUGGACCACUUCCUUUCUCUAUAGCCUUGAACCCUGCAGACACUGGAUUCUGCCUCUUGGGCUGAACUUCUUCUUGAGGCCUCUCCAUUGGGUGGCUCUGUCUUUCCUAGGCUUCCUCAUCUUGAUGCAAGGAAGAAGGUACACACUUGGCCAUGCAUGGUCUGAGAUGUAACAAUUAGUUUUAGGAAGUGCCUACUUCUGUGAGCAAAUAAUCAAUUACCUGUCAUAGCAGCCACUCUUUCCUGAAACUGCCUUCCAACCAGGUGUGCAGUUUCUGAAAUUCUACCAAUGGCUUUACUUCCUCCAGGUGUCUUCUGGAGGAGUAAGGAACCGUGACCAGACAGACACAAAUACAUAUGGCCAUUAGUAAUAUCAUUACCAAGCUAACUACAGGAAUCCAGGGCAGUAUGCAGGCAUAAGAGGUCCAGGAAGAGCAGAACAGAAGACAGUUGUGUGGAGAGCAAGUGAAGAGAGGCACUGAAGACAAACUCUCCCAUCCUUCUGACUUUACCUGGUCCCAGUCCUGGGAGGUGGAACUGAUGGGAUUAAUAAGAAACCAGGCAUGAGAAGCCAUGCAGAUGUAAAUUUGGAAAUCAACAUAUUGAUAGUUGGAGUCACUGGAGUAGGUAAGGGCCCAGGAAAAUUGUGAGGUGAGAAGAAGCCAAAGAUAAGUUCCUGGGGGAUGCCACCAUUCCAAGGGCAAGCAGAUCAGGAGGAGCCAGCUUAAAAGGCUAAGAAGAUGCUACUGGAGAGAAGGAGAACACUCAGAGAGAGUGGGCUUCACAAGCCGAGGGAGGAGUUUCACAAACAAGGACAGUGGACAGUGUCAAGGCUAGCAGAAGGUCUGCCGAAGAAGCC